UUGUAUUUCUAACACAUCUUACAGUACCGAACAGUGAAAUAAAAAAAAAUACUGAUAUACUGUCAUUUUUUUUAAUAUAUAUACGUAUUUGCUUAUUAAAUGCAUUUAUUCACAAAAUGACACCUCGGCUCUUUUAAAAGGAACAGCUUUUCAUAAAAAUAAUAUAAUAAAAAAUAACUCAGACACAUUUGACUUGUUACAGUGAGUUAAUUUACAAAUAUUACAAUCAUUUCAUGUUGUUUUACCCCUUAAUAUAAUUUGUCACGCUUUUGUGAACACGCACACUCACGCAUACACAUGAAAUAAUGCUGAUAAAAAUACUCUUCGAGGGAAUCAGUCUGCAUCGCUCCGACCUCCACAGGCAGGAUUUUAAAGUUACUAAGAAACGAGAGCAGGUGACGAUGCUCGAAAUGGUGACGAUAGAUGAGGACGCGGUCAUUAUCUCGAAACGCGUCACAUCCCGCGUGACUGACUGCUACUGUGUCUAUAGCAGCUCACGUUUUGACUUCAGGAGUCAAAAGAAUUCAAUCUCACGCCGACAGUCGGUCACCGAAUGGCUCCAUUUGACUCUGGAGGGUAGAAAUGAGGCUUUGUGAUUUGGCCCAGUGGAACAUCGUCAUCAUCAUCAUCAUCAUCAUUAACAAUAACCACCCACCACACACACACACACGACUUGAAACUCUGCCUCAGAGCCUGGUGAAAUAAAGUGCUGGUACACGUAUAUUUGAACAAGAAAGAGGUGACCGUACAGGCAAACGAGAACAUACUGAAGAGGUGAAGGUUGUGGCCUGCAGUGCGUUUGUACAGUUCAAUCGAUCAUUUACAAUGGAAUAUUACAUUAUAUACAAGAGUGGUUACGCUUGCGAUCCAUAUCAACAUGUUGAUUCUCUUUGUUUUGUUUAGUUUUCCACCCACCGGCCACUGGAAUGGUAUAAAAAUAAACUGUACACAAACUGUUCAAAGAAAACACUUUCUGUCGUUUUCUUCUCUUUUUUUAUCAUUUUUAAAAACAAUGGCAGCAAUCAAUCCACUGAAUAAUCUUCGUAUUGAUAAGAAACGAUUUGCUACAGUAUUGUGUUUGUAUGGCAAUUAAAUAGUAACCUUUUUUUUAUAGCUUCAUGACAUCACACAAAGAAGCCACCCAAAAAAAAAGAAAAAAAAGGAUAUCUUUUAAGUGAACAGGCCAGUGCAUAUGGGAAUGUUGUAUUAAUGUUUGUCAUUUCAUAAUCCCGUGGUCAAACACGCACACACGCAACGAAGAGUUCGGUUGCUGACCUGCAGAACCUGGUUCGUUCACCACUUUUCAUCGUCAUUCUUUUGCUUUUUACCCUGCGAAAACGACACUAGCUUAUAAGAAAAGGGUGGACGGUGGCGUGUUGAACACUUCAGGUCUUCUUGUCCUCCCGCGCUGUCGGGCGACUACAAAUAUGUCAUUCAAAAGGAGAGAAUACACACGUGACGAGUUUUGACAUCUGAUUUUUAAAAUGCGAGAGAACUCACACAUGACAGUCGGGUAAAUAAAAAAAAAAAAUCUGCGUUGUAGUGGUUCACACAAGAAGACUAACGGAGCACACCACACACAUAACGAUAUGGGAGUAGAUUAUUGCCACCAGGAUUUGAAUUUGAAAUAUAAAGUGAUCAUAUUUUCAAUAGUUGUAUUUCAGUGUAACUUUUCAAUGUUAACAAUUCACUUUACUUGUUACAGUGAGUUAAUUUACAAAUAUUGCAAUCAUUUUGUGUUGUUUUACCCCCUAAUUUGUCACGCUUUUGUGAACACACGCACACAUGCAUACACAUGAAAUAAUGCUAAUAAAAAUACUCUUUCAGUGAAUCAGUCUGCCAUCGCUCCGACCUGCACAGGCAGGAUUUUAAAGUUACUAAGAAACAAGAGGAGGUGACAAUGCUAGAAAUGGUCGCGAUGGAUAAGGACAGGACAUGAAUGCAAAAAAAAAAAAAAACAUAAUAAGGACAAUAGACCCUUUUCACAGUGACCACACCCGCCUGGAAUUAUUUGAAUUUGAAAUAUAAAUUGAUCACAUUUUUCGAUAGUUUUAUUUCAGUGUAACUUUUUAAUGUUAACAAUUCAACCGGCUACAAUUCGCUGUCUGAAAUUCACCAUCUGUGCCAUCAGGCAGGGUUACUUCAGGUCAGAACCGGACACCCAGCCAAUCAAAUUACGCCUUCUUAGUAUGUGACGUCACGUGACUAAGAAAGACGAUUGGCUGGGCGUUCGGUGAAUCUUCGACAGCUAAUUGUCACUAGAUGAAUUUUAGACAGCGAAUUUCAGACAGCGAAUUGUAGCAACUAAUGAAAAUGUGAUCACUUAAUAUCCAUCCAUCCAUUUUCUUUGCUGCUUAUCCUCACGAGGGUCGCAGGGAGUGCUGUAGCCUAUCCCAGCUGUUAACGGGCACACCCUGAACUGGUUGCCAGCCAAUCGCAGGGCACAUGGAGACGAACAUCCGCACUCAUAAUCACACCUUGGGGCAAUUUAGAGUGUCCAAUUAAUGUUGCAUGUUUUUGGGAUGUGGGGGGGAAACCGGAGUGCCUGGAGAAAACCCACCCAGGCAAAGGGAGAAAAUGCAAACUCCACACAGGCGGGGGUGAGAUCGAACCCGGAUCCUCAGAACUGUCAGGCCAACGCUUUACCAGCUGACUCACCGUGCCGCUGAUCACUUUACAUUUCAAAUUCAAAUCCUGGUGGCACUAAUCUACUUCCAUAGAACGACGUCUCCUCCCCAAAACCAGAAGUCUGUUGCAGUACCGAGACUAACCUGUGACAGCAGUACGGAGCCACAGGACACGAUGGAAAAACAUAGACAGACGUAAUCAAGGAAGCUAGGCCGUCAGCGAAUCUGGUAGCUAUAAUUGCAGUGACAAACUCUUCCUCUCGUCAUUUUUGCUGUGGUAAAAGACCUGCGAGACACGUGAACACUCAACAGAACCAUUUGCAGGUCACCUUCAGAUUGGCUUUCAUAGUCCAAGAUCAUAAAUCCUGAACAGAUUUGAAAUUUCCAGUUGACAGCUCCCAUUGUUUUCAUUCCAGUUGGGGGGGGGGGAUAUCACUCUUAACACAUCCCGCUGCACAGGAUAAUCGGUCACCAUCAUGUUUAGGAAAUAACCCACGAAGGGACUUUGUGGAUUGUGAUCACGAAGGUGGAGAUGAAAAAAAUGUCAGUACAGACCAAUUAUGGGUUGUUUUCACUGACGUGAACCGCUGCGCGCCGCCAUUUAACCUCCCUAGCUAACACGUACCCAGCGUGGGAAUCUACGGAAUACUCUCGGUUACUGUUUGUGUUUCACGGGCGUCUCGGGACUCAAGUACACGAGAGAGGACUUGCUAACCAUCAGAGAGCCUUCUUCUGACUUUUUUUUCGACAACUCUCGCCAAUUCGCUGAAGCUUUUUCCCCAGAGUUGCUUGUCGGCGCGUAUUUCAAAGCUUCGUGAUCCGGUGCACAAGUCCGACUUCGAAAGCGGGGAUGUCGUCUAACGCAGGGCUCAGCAAGCUUUUCGAGGCUGAGGGCUACUUCGUGAGCACCGAUCACUCAGUUCAUUACACUUACAUUAAAUAUUUUUGUUUUCAUUUAGUGUAGUAAAUGACAUUACAGGUAUUUCAAAAAUUUUAACUCAUGUAAGCAUGUCAAAUUCAGAAUUUAAAGCACAAAUAACAUUAACAAUUUGUGGCUUAUGGUGUUUUUAGAACAUACCUCGCGGGCGCCUUUUAUAGUCCUCGUGGACCACUAUUCGCCCGUGAGCACCACGUUGGUGACCCCUGGUCUCACGCUUCCGGCGAAAGACUUUGGACGUUGCUAUCCCGGUCUCAACCUCCAUCGUGCUGAUGUGUCACCGAGCUAAGCUAACAAGCUUAAUCGAUCCUCUUUUCAUUUGGCCAACAUUACAGUUAAGAUCGUUUAUUGCUAGUCACUUAAAAGAUUCGAUAAUUUUGUGAAAUACUGGAUUUGAUUAUUCUUUUGUCUUUCUGCCAUUGUUAUCAAAUAAAAAAAAAAAAAACAUUUCACUUUGCUUGCGGUGAACUAAUAUACAGGUUUUACUUUUUGGGAAAAAAAAAGGAGUAAAUGGAGUUUGCCUCGAUAUUAAAAAAAAAUAAUAUUCCACUGCCUUUUGUUUUCCGUGUAAGAAUACAGGUAAGUGCUCCUCCUCCGUGAUUUCUGUCACAAAGAGUAAAAGAUCAAGGGCGGUAUUGUUACUGCGCCUUUGUGACGGAGUCCCGAGUCCCAUGACGUGCGUACGCCAGGUAGCCCAAUAAUCAGUCUGGGCUUGAUGUGCUGUCGGUCACGUCUUCAAUAAAUACGGUUAGCAACAUAAUGUCGUCCACCUUGCCUACGUAUGAGUGACGGGAGCUCAGGGAUAGAAAAUGGCCGCCGUUCGAGGCAGCCAACGGGCGACGUCGUGUGAAAACAACCCUUUAUUGGUAUGCGCGCACCCCAUCUAAAUGCUCACUAAACUGCAAUAUGGUUAUUUUAUAUUCUUGGUAGCUGCAAUGGAGUGAGUUGAACAACAACAAAAAGACAUUCUUUCAAGUUGGUCCGAGCACAGUCACAACUUACUGUAAAUAGUUGACUACUACAAUGAAACGAGCGUACAGACGUAAUAUAAAUAUAGUCGCAUAUCUGCUAUAUUCCUCUAUGUGUAGCGGCAAGUGUGAAUCCUGCCUCUGACAUUAAGGCAAAAAAAAACAUAAUAAGGACAAUAGACCCUUUUUCACAGUGACCACAACCGCCUGGAAUCAUCUUCACUCCCUGUGAAUACAUAAAGUAAAGCGGGACUGAUAAUGUUUUAUUACAUAAGCGGGAGCGGUCUGGCGUAAAAAAAAAAACGAUCUAUUUAGACUUCCCGCACCAACAUUCCUGAUUUUCUUUUCCCAUCAUCCGCACUUGGCGACUUUGGUGAUCAUCGUAUGAGGACGUAAACUCACAGGUGGGGGGGGGGCGUGGCGCGAAAUUGAUCCGCCGUCGUCGCGGCGAUUCCUCCCCGAAUUGUGAAAGUAAAGGCAAAAAAAAAUGUACGCGCCGAAGCAUCCCAUGGCUUAUUGUAGGAAAGGGAUGAGAGUUGGUGAUCGUGGUGAUUGCUCUGUUAUACCAGCAGAAGAGCAACAAAGGAAGACUUGACGGCUUCAAACAUGUCAGCACAGACGCGCCACGAUACCAUGGACAGCAGCUUCCACGGGAGACAAUCAAAAGACUCGUGUCGGAAAGUCUCUCUCCCUUGGGAAGCUCGCCUUUCAGCUCCUCGCCCUGCUCCUCUUCCUCCAUCGCCACCUCCUCGUCGUCGUCCUCCUCCUCCUCGAUGAUGUCCUCGAUCUCCUCCUCGCCGCCCUCCUUGGCCCCUCCGUGGCCGUCUUGCUCCACGUGGUUGGGGCACGGUGCCGGGUCGCCCUCGUCGCACUCCGCCUGAGAGCCGUCCUCGAGGAGGCUGUGUGCUUGUCGCACAUGGGGCUAAUCUCCAUCCCUCGCUCCCUCUCCUUGUCGCCUUGCCUGAAGAACUCCUGCAUGAUCCUCUCCGUCCAUUGUCGGUACACGGCCAGGGGCUUGGUGGGAUUGCUCAGGU